UCCCCCUGGUGGCUCAGAUGGUAAAGCGUCUGCCUACAAAGCAGGAGACCCAGGUUCAAUCCCUGGGUUGGGAA